rnacentral:lncRNA from 1 species
AUUUUUAAAAGAUUUUAUUUAUUUGUUUGACACAGAGAGAGAGAGCACAAGCAGGCGAGCAGCAGGCAGAGGGAGAAGCAGACUCCUCGCUGAGCAGGGAGCCCAACAUGGGGCUCAAUCCCGGGACCCCAGGAUCAUGUCCAGAGCUGAAGGCAGCCACCAAGCGACUGAACCAUCCAGGUGCCCCUAACUAUUCCAUCACCAAAUCCAGUCCAACCCAACAUCAACUCCUAUUGGCUUCAGCUGCAAAACAGAUACAGAGAUAAUAAGAGUGUUCAUGAGCAGGGGGAAAGGCAGAGGAAGAAGCAGACUCUCCACUGAGCUAGGAGCCCAACGUGGGACUUGAUCCCAGGACCCAGAGAUCAUGACCUGAUCGAAGGCAGACGCUUAACCAUCUGAGCCACUCAGGUAGGUGCCCCUAAGAGAGGUGAUCUUAUGUAGGGUUUUUUAAAAAUUAUUUUUGUUAACAUAUAAUGUAUUAUAUGUUUUUUUGCCCCAGGGGUACAGGUGUGUGAAUCGUUAGGCUUACACAAUUCACAGCACUCACCAUAGCACAUGCUGUCCCCAAUGUUCGUAACCCAG